GCUGUGAUGAGCAUAGCAGAGAAGACUAACCUAGAUGUGAGAUGGUUGGGGUGGAGAAGAGAACUGGAAAAUCCAAGGAAGGGUCUCUGAGGAACUGAUUUAAGUUGAGACAAGAAGGAUGAGUGGGAGAUGGCCAGGUAAAGUGUGGGGAGAUUACUCUAUUUUAGAGCUAGUUUCUCUCUCUCUCUCUUUCUUUCCUUUUUUCCUUCCUUCCUCCCUCCCUCCCUUCCUUUUUUUUUUUUCAAUUUAGAAAAAAUAAAAUGUAUGUGAAUCAGGAACCUUUGCAGCUACUUGUAACUCAUGAUGAAUUCUGGCCAAUGGAAAUGCCACUCCUGGGAUGCAUAUUUCAAGGGAAAUGAUGAGGACGUUUGUGGUCCAGGAGGGAGAAGGCGAGGCAGGACUGGAGGCUGUCCGGAACUGUUUACACUGGCACUUUGUGCCCAGUGAUGCACUGCUGGG
rnacentral:lncRNA from 1 species